rnacentral:rRNA from 1 species
AUUGCCCUAGUAACGGCGAGUGAAGCGGCAACAGCUCAAAUUUGAAAUCUGGCGCAAGCCCGAGUUGUAAUUUGCAGAGGAUGCUUCUGGGCAGCGGCCGUUCUAAGUUCCUUGGAACAGGACGUCAUAGAGGGUGAGAAUCCCGUAUGUGACCGGCGCGCACCCUCCACGUAGCUCCUUCGACGAGUCGAGUUGUUUGGGAAUGCAGCUCUAAAUGGGAGGUAAAUUUCUUCUAAAGCUAAAUACCGGCCAGAGACCGAUAGCGCACAAGUAGAGUGAUCGAAAGAUGAAAAGCACUUUGGAAAGAGAGUUAAAAAGCACGUGAAAUUGUUGAAAGGGAAGCGCUUGCAACCAGACUCCGCGGCGGUGUUCCGCCGGUCUUCUGACCGGUCUACUCGCCGCCGCGGGGCCAACAUCGUCUGGGGCCGCCGGAUAAGACCGUGAGAAUGUGGCUCCCUCGGGAGUGUUAUAGCUCGCGGUGAUGCGGCGCGCCUCGGGCGAGGUCCGCGCUUCGGCAAGGAUGUUGGCGUAAUGGUUGCCAGCGGCCCGUCUUGAAACACGGACCAAGGAGUCUAACAUCUAUGCGAGUGUUCGGGUGUCAAACCCCUACGCGUAAUGAAAGUGAACGGAGGUGGGAGCUUCGGCGCACCAUCGACCGAUCCUGAUGUCCUCGGAUGGAUUUGAGUAAGAGCAUAGCUGUUGGGACCCGAAAGAUGGUGAACUAUGCCUGAAUAGGGUGAAGCCAGAGGAAACUCUGGUGGAGGCUCGCAGCGGUUCUGACGUGCAAAUCGAUCGUCAAAUUUGGGUAUAGGGGCGAAAGACUAAUCGAACCAUCUAGUAGCUGGUUCCUGCCGAA